rnacentral:rRNA from 1 species
UUUCUGCUCAAUGAAAUUAAAAGCUGCAAUAUUUUAAUUGUACAAAGGUAGCAUAAUCAUUUGUUUUUUAAUUGAGAACUUGAAUGAAGGAAUUGAUAAAAUAUAAAUUACAUUUAUAUUAAAAAAUUUAAUUUAUUUUUUGAAUUAAAAAAUUUAAAUUAAUUAUUAAGACGAUAAGACCCUAUAAAAUUUUAUAUAAUUAAGUUAUUUUUAUAUGUUAUUUUAAGUGUAUAUUAAUUUAUAUUUAUUGGGGAGAUAAAGUAAAUUUAGUUAACUUUACUAUUUUAAAUUUCAAUAAUUAUUGAUUUUUUUUAUUUAUAUAUUUAAAAUAAUUAAAUUACUUUAGGGAUAACAGAGUAAUAUUUCUAGAUAGAUCAUAUUGAUAAAAUUGUUUACUACCUCGAUGUUGAAUUAAAAUGAAAUAUUUAAGUAGAUUUAUWWWAUUUAAGUCUGAUCGACUUUUAAAAUUUACAUGAUUUGAGUUCA